rnacentral:lncRNA from 1 species
CGAGAUCGGCGAGCCGGCUCAGGCGCCCGAUGGAGGCGGGGAUGGGGCCGGAGAUCUGGUUGCGCGCGAGGAGGGCGCGGCUGAGCAUCUUGAGGUCGCCCAAGUUGGUGGGGAUGGGCCCGGAGAUCUUGUUGCCGGAGAGGUCGAGGUGCAUGAGGGAGGAGAGGGAGGGGAGGGAGCGGGGGAUGGGGCCGGAGACGAGGUUGUCGGCGAGGUUGAGGACGGUGAGGCGGGAGAGGCGGCCGAGGUCGGCGGGGAUGGGGCCGGAGAGUCGGUUGCCGGGGAGGUCGAGGAUGCGGAGGAGGGGGAGGGACGACGGGAUGCACGGCGGGAUCGCCCCGCCGAUCUGCUUCCAGUCUGCCACCACCAGGGUCGUCAGCCGCUCCAGCCGGCAGACCGCCUCGGAGAUGCGCCCCGACAUCAGCCCGGACGUGCGCC